GGCUAAUCUGCAGCAGUUCUUCACUGGCAAGCUUUAUGUCCCUGUGUACCAGCUAAAGCUGCCAGUUGAAGAACUGUUGUGGUUGGCU
rnacentral:pre_miRNA from 12 species